rnacentral:rRNA from 1 species
AUUCUUCGGAUGAUUUCCUAUUUGACUGAGCGGCGGACGGGUGAGUAACGCGUGGGUAACCUGCCUCAUACAGGGGGAUAACAGUUAGAAAUGACUGCUAAUACCGCAUAAGACCACAGCACCGCAUGGUGCAGGGGGAAAAACUCCGGUGGUACAGGAUGGACCCGCGUCUGAUUAGCUGGUUGGUGAGGUAACGGCUUACCAAGGCGACGAUCAGUAGCCGGCUUGAGAGAGUGAACGGCCACAUUGGGACUGAGACACGGCCCAAACUCC